rnacentral:misc_RNA from 1 species
GUGACUAUUCCUUUAAAAUAUGCUGUUUGGAGAUUUUCAACGCUUUUAUUUGGAGAUUUUCAACGAGUUUUGUUUCAAAGAAGCUUUUGUUUAAUUAACAGAUUUUUAAAUAGUUAUGAUUAGUGCGCAUAUCAAUUAGUUUUACUUUAUCGUUUUUAUAAGUUUUUACAAAACGGAUAAAAAGGCCUCAAAAAGAUCGCCCACAAACCACUAACAAAACCAUUUAAAG